rnacentral:rRNA from 1 species
CCGCCUGGGGAGUACGGCCGCAAGGUUAAAACUCAAAUGAAUUGACGGGGGCCCGCACAAGCGGUGGAGCAUGUGGUUUAAUUCGAUGCAACGCGAAGAACCUUACCUGGUCUUGACAUCCACGGAAGUUUUCAGAGAUGGAAUGUGCCUUCGGGAACCGUGAGACAGGUGCUGCAUGGCUGUCGUCAGCUCGUGUUGUGAAAUGUUGGGUUAAGUCCCGCAACGAGCGCAACCCUUAUCCUUUGUUGCCAGCGAUUAGGUCGGGAACUCAAAGGAGACUGCCAGUGAUAAACUGGAGGAAGGUGGGGAUGACGUCAAGUCAUCAUGGCCCUUACGACCAGGGCUACACACGUGCUACAAUGGCGCAUACAAAGAGAAGCGACCUCGCGAGAGCAAGCGGACCUCAUAAAGUGCGUCGUAGUCCGGAUUGGAGUCUGCAACUCGACUCCAUGAAGUCGGAAUCGCUAGUAAUCGUGGAUCAGAAUGCCACGGUGAAUACGUUCCCGGGCCUUGUACACACCGCCCGUCACACCAUGGGAGUGGGUUGCAAAAGAAGUAGGUAGCUUAACCUUCGGGAGGGCGCUUACCACUUUGUGAUUCAUGACUGGGGUGAAGUCGUAACAAGGUAACCGUAGGGGAACCUGCGGUUGGAUCACCUCCUUACCUUAAAGAAGC